AGCUCCUGUGGCCUAGUGGUGAGAGUGUCUGUCUCGGAUAUGGGGGGGUUGCAGGUUCAAACCCUUGCGGAGUCA